AAUUCUCAAGCUGGAUGAACUUUUCUUUAGGAAAGCACAUCUCAGUUUGGUAUUUGGGCUUUGCCGUGUCUCUUUAUUGCGAACGGCUGGCCUUAAAGAUAUUAGCUGGCCCUCAUGUAGGAUUGGUUCUACUCAGCGUGAUAAUAAUUGACUGCUGAGGACAUCUUUUGGGAUGGCCAAGUUCUGUUUGAGGGUUGCUUCUAACCCUGGCUUACGGAUUCACUUGAAUCUGUUCCAUUCACUCA
rnacentral:misc_RNA from 1 species